CACGUAGGGGGCAAGCGUUGUCCGGAUUUAUUGGGCGUAAAGAGCUCGUAGGUGGUUCGGUAAGUCGGGUGUUAAACCCCCAGGCUCAACCUGGGGACGCCACUCGAUACUGCUGUGACUAGAGUCCGGUAGGGGAGCGUGGAAUUCCUGGUGUAGCGGUGAAAUGCGCAGAUAUCGGGAGGAACACCGGUGGCGAAGGCGGUUCUCUGGGCCUUACCUGACGCUGAGGAGCGAAAGCGUGGGGAGCGAACAGG
rnacentral:rRNA from 1 species